rnacentral:rRNA from 1 species
AGAGUUUGAUCCUGGCUCAGAACGAACGCUGGCGGCGCGUCUUAAGCAUGCAAGUCGAACGGCAAGAGAGGAGCUUGCUUCUCUCCUAGAGUGGCGGACUGGUGAGGAACACGUGGGUAAUCUACCCUUAAGAUGGGGAUAGCUGCUAGAAAUAGCAGGUAAUACCGAAUACACUCGGCAUAUCACAAGAGAUGUUGAGGAAAGGAAGCUACGGCUUCGCUUGAGGAUGAGCUUGCGUCCCAUUAGCUAGUUGGUGAGGUAAAGGCCCACCAAGGCGACGAUGGGUAUCCGGCCUGAGAGGGUGAACGGACACAUUGGGACUGAGAUACGGCCCAAACUCCUACGGGAGGCAGCAGCUAAGAAUAUUCCGCAAUGGACGAAAGUCUGACGGAGCGACGCCGCGUGGAUGAAGAAGGCUGAAAAGUUGUAAAAUCCUUUUGUUGAUGAAGAAUAAGGGUGAGAGGGAAUGCUCAUCUGAUGACGGUAAUCGGCGAAUAAGCCCCGGCUAAUUACGUGCCAGCAGCCGCGGUAACACGUAAGGGGCGAGCGUUGUUCGGAAUUAUUGGGCGUAAAGGGCAUGUAGGCGGUUAUGUAAGCCUGGUGUGAAAUCCUGGGGCUUAACCCUAGAAUAGCAUUGGGUACUGUGUAACUUGAAUUACGGAAGGGAAACUGGAAUUCCAAGUGUAGGGGUGGAAUCUGUAGAUAUUUGGAAGAACACCGGUGGCGAAGGCGGGUUUCUAGCCAAUGAUUGACGCUAAGGUGCGAAGGUGCGGGGAGCAAACAGGAUUAGAUACCCUGGUAGUCCGCACA